GAUGAAGAACGUAGCGAAAUGCGAUACGUAGUGUGAAUUGCAGAAUUCAGUGAAUCAUCGAAUCUUUGAACGCACAUUGCACCUCUCGGUAUUCCGGAGGGCAUGCCUGUCCGAGCGUCAUCGCUGCCCUCAAGCACGGCUUGUGUGUUGGGCCCCGCCCCCCGAUCCCGGGGGGCGGGCCCGAAAGGCAGCGGCGGCACCGCGUCCGGUCCUCGAGCGUAUGGGGCUUUGUCACCCGCUCUGUAGGCCCGGCCGGCGCCUGCCGAUCAACCAAACUUUUUUCCAGGUUGACCUCGGAUCAGGUAGGGAUACCCGCUGAACUUAAGCAUAUCAAUAACGGAGGA
rnacentral:misc_RNA from 1 species